rnacentral:lncRNA from 1 species
CUGCUCACUAACUUUAUGCUAUCAAAUGGACAGCUUUGCACUUUAAUAGAACCGAUCUUUCCAUCAUUGGUCAUAAAAUCCAACAUUUUAGUAUCGAAGGUAAAAUCCAAGCUGACUUUUUCUACAAGUUUAUUUUGAACCAUUGACUGAAUCCAUUGCUCAUUUUGAGUGAUGUUCUUCUGGAUUUUUUUCACACUAAGGAAUGAUUGUAUAUCGGAGGCAUUCUUCUUUAUGUUUUCGAUUUCUGCGUUGCACUAAAUCAUCUCUUCAUAAUUGAGCAUUGAGUGAGAAAACGAUUGAUUGGAUCUUAUCGGAACAUUCCGCUUCUACUUUGUCAAGUUCGGUCAUGAAAUCUUCUUGCAACCUAUCGAGGUACCGUGUAAUUGUUCCUAUAAAGCGACUUACAACUUCGAAGAUUUGUUGUCUUUUUUCACUUUGAAGAUUUUCAAAUUGGACUCCCUGUCGCUUCGGAUUCGGUUGAUAUUAACCAUUAAAUCGUUUACACUUUGUUCUAUUUCUCUGAACACUUCGGAUGAUUUCAUGCAGAGUGCAACGUCUUCAAGAAUUGUUAGUUCAUCGCAGUGUCCAUGUUCUUUGAUACAUUUGUAACAAAUAGGAACCUCGUGCUUUACACAGUAUUG